rnacentral:rRNA from 1 species
AGAGUUUGAUCCUGGCUCAGAGCGAACGCUGGCGGCAGGCCUAACACAUGCAAGUCGAACGGACCCUUCGGGGUUAGUGGCGGACGGGUGAGUAACACGUGGGAACGUGCCUUUAGGUUCGGAAUAGCUCCUGGAAACGGGUGGUAAUGCCGAAUGUGCCCUUCGGGGGAAAGAUUUAUCGCCUUUAGAGCGGCCCGCGUCUGAUUAGCUAGUUGGUGGGGUAAUGGCCCACCAAGGCUACGAUCAGUAGCUGGUCUGAGAGGAUGACCAGCCACAUUGGGACUGAGACACGGCCCAAACUCCUACGGGAGGCAGCAGUGGGGAAUCUUGCGCAAUGGGCGAAAGCCUGACGCAGCCAUGCCGCGUGUAUGAUGAAGGUCUUAGGAUUGUAAAAUACUUUCACCGGUGAAGAUAAUGACUGUAGCCGGAGAAGAAGCCCCGGCUAACUUCGUGCCAGCAGCCGCGGUAAUACGAAGGGGGCUAGCGUUGCUCGGAAUUACUGGGCGUAAAGGGAGCGUAGGCGGACAUUUAAGUCAGAGGUGAAAUCCCGGAGCUUAACUUCGGAACUGCCUUUGAUACUGGGUGUCUUGAGUGUGAGAGAGGUAUGUGGAACUCCGAGUGUAGAGGUGAAAUUCGUAGAUAUUCGGAAGAACACCAGUGGCGAAGGCGACAUACUGGCUCAUUACUGACGCUGAGGCUCGAAAGCGUGGGGAGCAAACAGGAUUAGAUACCCUGGUAGUCCACGCCGUAAACGAUGAUUGCUAGUUGUCGGGAAGCUUGCUUCUCGGUGACGCAGCUAACGCAUUAAGCAAUCCGCCUGGGGAGUACGGUCGCAAGAUUAAAACUCAAAUGAAUUGACGG